rnacentral:rRNA from 1 species
GAUGAACGCUGGCGGCGUGCCUAAUACAUGCAAGUCGAGCGAACAGACGAGGAGCUUGCUCCUCUGACGUUAGCGGCGGACGGGUGAGUAACACGUGGAUAACCUACCUAUAAGACUGGGAUAACUUCGGGAAACCGGAGCUAAUACCGGAUAACAUGUUGAACCGCAUGGUUCAACAGUGAAAGACGGUUUUGCUGUCACUUAUAGAUGGAUCCGCGCCGCAUUAGCUAGUUGGUAAGGUAACGGCUUACCAAGGCAACGAUGCGUAGCCGACCUGAGAGGGUGAUCGGCCACACUGGAACUGAGACACGGUCCAGACUCCUACGGGAGGCAGCAGUAGGGAAUCUCCCGCAAUGGGCGAAAGCCUGACGGAGCAACGCCGCGUGAGUGAAGAAGGUCUUCGGAUCGUAAAACUCUGUUAUUAGGGAAGAACAAAUGUGUAAGUAACUAUGCACGUCUUGACGGUACCUAAGCAGAAAACCACGGCUAACUACGU